rnacentral:rRNA from 1 species
AUACGGAGGGUGCAAGCGUUACUCGGAAUCACUGGGCGUAAAGCGCGCGCAGGCGGCUAUUUAAGUUGGAUGUGAAAGCCUACGGCUCAACCGUAGAACUGCAUCCAAAACUAUUUAGCUAGAGUGUGGGAGAGGAAGAUGGAAUUAGUUGUGUAGGGGUAAAAUCCGUAGAGAUAACUAGGAAUACCAAAAGCGAAGGCAAUCUUCUGGAACACUACUGACGCUGAGGCGCGAAAGCGUGGGGAGCAAACGGGAUUAGAAACCAUAGUAGUCC